UACGUAGGGAGCAAGCGUUUGUCCGGAAUCAUUGGGCGUAAAGCGCGCGUAGGCGGCCCCGUAAGUCCGCUGUGGAAAGUCAAAGGCUCAACCCUUUGAAAGCCGGUGGAUACUGUGGGGCUAGAGUCCGGAAGAGGCGAGUGGAAUUCCUGGUGUAGCGGUGGAAUGCGCAGAUAUCAGGAGGAACACCAAUAGCGAAGGCAGCUCGCUGGGACGGUACUGACGCUAAGGCGCGAAAGCGUGGGGAGCGAACAGG
rnacentral:rRNA from 1 species